rnacentral:lncRNA from 1 species
GGACUUCAACCACAUUCACAUAUUACUUAGACGAAGGACUAUAACCAUGUAUACACUCAUUAAGCAAGGGACUCUAACCACAUACACAUCUAUUUAAGCAAAGAAAAUUUAACCCCACACACACAUUUAUUUAGGCAAGGGACUAUAACUACAUGCCCAUACAUUAGGCAAGGGACUCUAACCUAAUGCCACAUUAGAUAGGGGAAUCUAACCCAAGCCAUUUCAUUUGGAAAAGCACUUAAACCUCAAG